ACUCUCGCAAUGUAUAAUAAAAUAUUCGAUUCAUUUCUAACACAUGUAUGCAAUCCCUUACCUUAUCUUUAAAUAAAUUUGAGUAAAUAAAUUUAAGUGCGAAACUGUUCCAUGCUACCGUGAAACUUAUAUUUUGCUUUUUAAACAUAAACCAACAAUUUUUAAUUGUAAUUUCUUUUCUUCUUUAAAAAGGGUAUUGACAUCCCAAUAUUUAGUGGGAAGUUCCCAGGUAUCAUCCGCUAGCGACAGUCUACUGGCAAAUCCAGACAUGCAUUGGAAGGAUGCUGAUGUGGAGGACACAGGGACACCUGAUCCAAGAACUGUGGCAUUUCAUUCGGGGUGACAACCUGGCUUUCAGUUGAUAUGGGACCCUAUUACGGUAUUCGGAGAACUGCAGAUUUUAUGAAGCUGUCUUUGACAGAAGAUUUGGUUUUCUCCAUUUGUGUUGCCACCAACCAUUAUGCUGAGAUGGUCAUAUAUAGGGGGAAGGGUUGACAUAUACUUCCCAAGGAAGUUUGCAGCCUCUCACUGAAGAGGAACUGUACAGGUAUUACUAGUUUUAAAAACCGAUAUUGUGGCAGUGAUUUCCAGUUUAAAAAGAAUAAUAAAAUGCAUAGUAAAAAGAUUACCUUUACCAAAAUUAAACUGGCUGUGAAUCUAACUCAUUUAUUAAAUGUGUACAACAAUUACCUCUGAUAAAAUUUUAUAAGUAAUUAAAUGCAUACUUUUCAGAGGGCCUUGAUUAUCGGAAACAUUUACAGAGCCAAUUGAGUUACUUUUUUUUCCAGAUUUUUGUGCAUUAUCUUAUAUAUGUCUGAUGUGAAGUUCCAGUCGAUAGACAGAUAUUGGUCAACGUAUGCCCCUGUCGGAACAACUCAUUAUCAAGAAUUAUGUCUAGAAAUAGGUUUCAAGAGGUUGAAUAUAAGAACAUCUUUGUUAAAUAUGAUGCAAGUACAUUUAAAUCUAGUGAUUGAAAGUAAGUACUUGAACAUUCGUAUAUGUUGAACUUGGAGAGGAAAAAUGGUUAGUACUUUUUGAUAACAUUUGAUAAGGUGUUGUUGCUGAGCAACCAAAUAUAAUUGAAUAAAAAAAUAAAUUAUUUUAGAUUAACAAUAAUUGAAAGAUCUUUGUUUUAAUGUUGCAAUACUUAUUCUAUUUAAUGGAACAUAAUGGCAAAAACGUCGUAUUAUUAGAAAAUGAUGGACAAGUAUAUAAAGUACGAAGUUUCCAUUUGAUAUCUUUUGACCUUAAUUCUCUUCAUCAUAUUUUUUGUUAAAAACCUUUUAAAAUGAUUAAGAUCUAUUUAAAGAUUAUAUUUUUAAAAUAAUGUGACAUUUACUAAUCAUCAUGGAAUGUAAUUACGUUUAAAUUGUGUCGAAUGGAUGCAGAAAGGCAAAUUAUGGUCAAAAUUGUACUAUGAGUGUUGUUACUUAGCAACCAAAAUUAUUUGUUUGUCAAUAAAAUUGAUUAGUU